GGUUCGCCCUUCAACUGCCAGCAGGUUUACCUUGAAUAAAUCAGAGUGCUCAAUACAGGCGCUUGCUUGAAUAGCUCAUCAUGGAAUAAUGAAACAGGACUUCGGUUCUUUUUGUUGGUUCUAGAAUUGAUCUAAUGGUUAAGAGGGACAAACCGGGGGCAUUCGUAUCAUUACGCGAGAGGUGAAAUUCGUGGACCGUAGUGAGACGCCCAAUAGCGAAAGCAUUUGCCAAGAAUGUCUUCAUUAAUCAAGAACGAAAGUCAGAGGUUCGAAGGCGAUUAGAUACCGCCCUAGUUCUGACCGUAAACGAUGCCAUCUCGCGAUUCGGAGGGUUCAUGCCCUACCGAGGAGCUACCCGGAAACGAAAGUCUUUCGGUUCCGGGGGUAGUAUGGUUGCAAAGCUGAAACUUAAAGAAAUUGACGGAAGGGCACCACAAGGCGUGGAGCUUGCGGCUUAAUUUGACUCAACACGGGAAAAUACACCCGGUCCGGACACUAUUAGGACUGACAGAUUGAAAGCUCUUUCUCGAUUUGGUGGUUGGUGGUGCAUGGCCGUUCUUAGUUGGUGGAGUGAUUUGUCUGGUUUAUUCCGAUAACGAGCGAGACUCUAGCCUGCUAAAUAGUCGACGAAUCUUCGGGUUCGUAUAACUUCUUAGAGGGAUAAGCGGUGUUUAGCCGCACGAGAUUGAGCGAUAACAGGUCUGUGAUGCCCUUAGAUGUCCGGGGCUGCACGCGUGCUACACUGGUGGAGUCAGCGGGUUUUUCCUAUGCCGAAAGGUAUCGGUAAACCGUUGAACUUCUUCCAUGUCCGGGAUAGGGUAUUGUAAUUAUUACCCUUAAACGAGGAAUGCCUAGUAAGUGUGAGUCAUCAGCUCACGUUGAUUACGUCCCUGCCCUUUGUACACACCGCCCGUCGCUAUCCGGGACUGAACUGAUUCGAGAAGAGUGGGGACUGUGGCUGCGAGGUUUUACCACUUCGCAGUUGCGGAAACCAUUUUUAUCGCAUUGGUUUGAACCGGGUAAAAGUCGUAACAAGGUAGCUGUAGGUGAACCUGCAGCUGGAUCAUCG
rfam:Caenorhabditis japonica strain DF5081 Contig9436.1, whole genome shotgun sequence.